CUACGGGAUGCUCCAGUGGGGAAUAUUGCACAAUGGGCGCAAGCCUGAUGCAGCCAUGCCGCGUGUAUGAAGAAGGCCUUCGGGUUGUAAAGUACUUUCAGCGGGGAGGAAGGGAGUAAAGUUAAUACCUUUGCUCAUUGACGUUACCCGCAGAAGAAGCACCGGCUAACUCCGUGCCAGCAGCCGCGGUAAUACGGAGGGUGCAAGCGUUAAUCGGAAUUACUGGGCGUAAAGCGCACGCAGGCGGUUUGUUAAGUCAGAUGUGAAAUCCCCGGGCUCAACCUGGGAACUGCAUCUGAUACGGGCAAGCUUGAGUCUCGUAGAGGGGGGUAGAAUUCCAGGUGUAGCGGUGACAUGCGUAGAGAUCUGGAGGAAUACCGGUGGCGAAGGCGGCCCCCUGGACGAAGACUGACGCUCAGGUGCGAAAGCGUGGGGAGCAAACAGGAUUAGAUACCCCCGUAGUC
rnacentral:rRNA from 1 species